AACAUAACCAGCCCUACAACAACACAUACCUUGCAACGGUGCUGACAUGUGUAUCUACCAUCCAUCUACCGAACGCACCCACGUCAAGGCUGGCUAGUUAUAACCCACCCCCAUCUCUGCAUCUCCGUCCCUCUCGAUCCCCAUUAUCCGCCAGUCCACCAUAACCCUAGAAGCACGACGCCGCCACAAAUCAAUCUGUCUAACAACAUCUACUCCAUUCCUCUCCAGCUUCCCCUCGCCUCAGGCCUUUAACAUUCAUGUUGUUGUUCUGCUCGGAGACCACGCGAGGCGACGCGCACUGAAUCAUGAAGCGGCGCGGGUGCACAGAGAAGGGGCGAGGCGGAUCAUAGUGGUCACGGCGGAAGAAGGGCAAUCCAGUAUCGCCUUUGGUUGGUUGGUGAUGAUACUGAUACCCAAGGCGCCGAUGGGGAUUUGGGACUGGUGCCUGGGGUGGGGUGACGAGGGCAGUCAGGAUUCAGCUCUGCAUCCACCGCCGCUAACAUCGACGGUAGCCAUCUCAUGUCCAUCGUCACAGGUGCAAAACUGUUUCCCCGUGCUAUUAGCUGUUCACCGUCAGGCCUAAGACAGGUACGCACUGAAGAUAGGAAUUCUCACCUAACUCAUCACGCUAGUGCCAAAUGUAGAGUCCAGUUUGCCAUGCGCAUUGUUCUAAGUAAUGAAUUCAGUGAUUAGGAAGAACAUAAAUUAUUAAUAUUGUUAUUUGCAACUGGGCAUAUGUUCAUAUUCUGGUUAAUAACCUAUUUCGUCCUGCAGCUUUCAGCAGCUGGAAAUUUAUUUCCUGAAGUUUCAGUAACUGAGUUUUACUUCGGCAGAUUAGAAGAAACUUGUAUGUGAACUAAUUGUCGCACACCCUUAUCUUGGCCAGGUAAGGUACCUGUUCGCUAUGUUAACUUCAGGGCUGGAACUGAAGUUGUUGGUAUAACAUAAAAUCUGGGUUUGUAGAAUCACUGUUAUCUGCAGUAUGCCCAUUGAGUUUUUUGAACUAUGCCAUGUCAGCAGUCCUUCCCAAAGUGUACCAUUAUGUGCUGCUUGUAAGAUUUGUUAGGAUCAUCUUCAUAGUUUACUGUAUCAUGUCUUUUUUGUUUAUUGCAAACAGUAGUUAAGAUAUGCAACAAAUACAUGGUUAAAAGAGUAAACACCUAAUCAUGAAUCACAUUUUCUACAUAAUUGAGUUUAUCCAUGCCGGCAUGAUUAUCUAGGUGCAUUGCCCAUUGUUCUUAUUUUUUUACUGCUCUCUGUUCAGAAAAUACAGAGUGAGAAGCACCUGCAAUGCUUAUCAAUGGUCAGUUUGCAUGCUAGUGAUUGAAAUCCAUGGCUAGAAUAAACCCAUGGGAGCAAACAACUGGCUUGAGUUAACUUCAGUUAUGGAGGUCAAGUUUUUUUUUUUUGCGAAUAAGUUAUGCAGGUCAAGUUAAUUGGAUCGACAUCAUAAUUGUGUUUCCUACUGACUACCUGGAAGUUUGGCUGGUAAACAAAGGAAGAGGAAAUAUAUUUCUAUCUUGGGUGGAUUUGAGGCCACUAAAAACUACUCUUUACCAAGAGGCCGAAAAGAUAAGCAAGGGUUCCCGUAACUAACCAAUUGUGAGCUGUACAUGCCAAUGCUGCACUUGUGAAAACUGAAGAGUUCGUACGAUUCAAAAGAUAAAUGGAUGAUGAUAUGGGUGAAAAGUUGAAUGGAAUGAGGACAAUGCUUUUGCUGCUGGAUAUAUAAUCUACUUCACAUCUCUGCAUCUUUAGUUAUCUCGUAGGAAGGAAGUGAUAUUGUAAACAUGAUAUUUAUAUAUGUACCACGUGGAUGGUGAUCCUAUUGUAAUGCCACGAUUUUAAUCUAAUAUAGUACUAUGUUUUUCUUCUCUACAAA